rnacentral:rRNA from 1 species
AAUGGAGGCAACUCUGACCCAGCCAUCCCGCGUGAAGGAUUAAGGCCCUAUGGGUUGUAAACUUCUUUUGUUUGGGAAGAAAUCAGGACAUUUAUGUGCUGUUGACGGUACCUUACGAAUAAGCACCGGCUAACUCCGUGCCAGCAGCCGCGGUAAUACGGAGGGUGCAAGCGUUAUCCGGAAUCACUGGGUUUAAAGGGUGCGUAGGCGGUUUGAUAAGUCAGAGGUGAAAGCUAGCAGCUUAACUGUUAAAUUGCCUUUGAUACUGUCAGACUUGAAUCAGGUUGAGGUAGGCGGAAUGUGACAUGUAGCGGUGAAAUGCAUAGAUAUGUCAUAGAACACCAAUUGCGUAGGCAGCUUGCUGGGCUUGAAUUGACGCUGAGGCACGAAAGCGUGGGGAUCAAA